rnacentral:rRNA from 1 species
UACGAAGGGGGCUAGCGUUGCUCGGAAUCACUGGGCGUAAAGCGUGCGCAGGCGGUUAUGCAAGACAGAUGUGAAAUCCCCGGGCUCAACCUGGGAACUGCAUUUGUGACUGCAUGGCUAGAGUGCGGCAGGAGGGGGAUGGAAUUCCGCGUGUAGCAGUGAAAUGCGUAGAUAUGCGGAGGAACACCGAUGGCGAAGGCAAUCCCCUGGGCCUGCACUGACGCUCAUGCACGAAAGCGUGGGGAGCAAACAGG